UACGGACUAAAAUCCGUUGGCUUUAUAGACCAUGAGGGUUCAAGUCCCUCUACCCCCA
rnacentral:tRNA from 51 species